CGCGCUGCUCUGGGUUGCAGGAAAGCCAGUCUCUCCGAGCAUGGUUGGGGAGGGGGCUGGGUUUUGCUUUUUGUUUCUGGAAGUCCCCCUUCACCCUCCUUAGUCCCUGCGUGCAGCCGAGAGGAUCGUGCGGAAAGGCUACAGGGCCCCAGGGCGCACCCCGCCCCGCGCACUCCGGCCGGGGCCGAAGGCGCCGCCUCGGGGGGGUGGGGGCUCCCUGCACCCAGGAGGAGGCGCGGUGAGUGCCCUGGCUCUUCCUGCACUGCUCCCUGCCCGGGACUGGGGUGGGGGAGCGCCGCAGGUUGACACCUCCAAUGCCGAGAUUCUAGGGGAAGAACUUCUGCUGUAAAGACAGGAAGGCCGCAGAGAGCCCCUGAGGGCGGCAGCGCCAGAGAGAGGGCUGCCCACACGGCACCACGCUGCCCUAUACUGCUACGGUGUGGCUGCAGAUGGAUUCCUGAGUUCUUCCAGAUUGCUCGUUGCUAAGCUAUAGAGUUCCAGGUUUUGCAGCCUUGCUGCUCAUUGGUGGAGAGUUCCCCGGCCGCUCCAACCAGAGGAGGCUGCAGAGGAAAGCAUUGCCCCAGGAGCUGGGAAUUUUCUAGCAGUUGAUGUCAUGCAAAGGUCUUUGUCUAGCUCUGUGGAAUUUGCUGUCCUCUUGAACUGACUGAAUAGGAACACACAGAGGUUCUAGAAUGUUUCUCCAGGAAGAUGAGGGACCUCCCACCCUGGAGCAGAAGAAACAACUCAGGAUUAACCAUUAAACCCCCCAACCUGAUCAAGUGACGGCAGGAGGCGAGGACACUGGAUAGCCUGAACUCAGGGUGCUUGGAACGAGGGCUUCAUCUGCAAAGGACAGUCCUCCCCAGUCCUUGAGCAGCUGGGACAAUGUGUGCUGCCACCGUGACCGCAAAGGACAAUAAAAUACGAGGCUGGAAGAACGUUUAACAGCCUGACUCCCAGCUUCCCCGGAAACUUCGUCUCUUCCCAGCAGAAGCUGCCCUGGACAUCUGGAGUCCACGUGAGAUUGCUGUGGGCUUUAGCUUCCUUCUUUCUGAAAGACCCAGACCCGGCGUUAAGAUAAUCACAUCACCCAGAUGGGCCAACCAGAAUUUUCUCUGGGACUUCCCUGCCGGAACUGUAGGGAAAGGCCUCAUGCACUACCCUGGUUGUGAAAUGUGUGGAAGGUGUUUGAGAAAGCAGAAAUCCCGAAAGAUAGAGAGCCCCUGAGCUACUGCUGGGAGUCAACAGA